UCCAGCCACGACUGGGAAGCCGGAGAACGUUUCACCUGCACGGUGAAGCACCACGAGCUCCAGCUGCCCCUCAACAAGACCAUCUCCAGACCUUCAGGCAAGGUCUCCCCGCCCCUCGUCUUCAUCCUCCCGCCCCACCCCGAGGAGAUGACCCGCACCUUCUUCAUCUCCAGCAAGAUGAUGGUCCUCAGCGGCAGCUGGGCGGGCGGGGACACCUACACCUGCAUGGUGGUCCACGAAGGGUUGCCCAUGAAGUUCACCCAACGCCAGGCGCAGAAGAACCCCG